rnacentral:sRNA from 2 species
GCAGAAUUCAGUGAAUCAUCGAAUCUUUGAACGCAAAUGGCGCUCUUGGGUUCUCCCAGGAGCAUGUCUGUCUGAGUGUCUUUUUCGUUGAAUGACAUUCGCACGAUGUGGCCGUGUUAUGCACUGGCGUUUCGUGCGGCGUUGAGGUUCGCGGCCUUGCUAUUCUUAGGCCGCGUGCCUUUAAAUGGAGGAGGAAGAUGGGCUCAAGGUCCGGUGCAGUCGCAUGCGGAUUCAGUUCAUGUGCCGCAUGUGACUGCUGCACCGGGAAUAUUGUCCUCGGCCCUCUACCUCGUGACCUUUAGCACGACGCUCGUUCGUUCGUUGCUUGCCGCCAGACCUCAGAUCAGGCAAGGCUACCCGCUGAAUUUAAGCAUAUUAAUAAGCGGAGGAAAAGAAACUAACAAGGAUUCCCCCAGUAACGGCGAGUGAAGCGGGAAGAGCUCAAAUUUGAAAUCUCCGAUGCCUGCAUCGGCGAGUUGUAGUUGCGAGAAGCACUUUCUAGGCGGAAGGGCCCUGCCUAAGUUGCUUGGAACAGCACGUCGCAGAGGGUGACAACCCCGUCU